rnacentral:rRNA from 1 species
UACCUUUGCCGGCGACCGGCGCACGGGUGAGUAACACGUAUCCAACCUGCCCUUUACUCGGGGAUAGCCUUUCGAAAGAAAGAUUAAUACCCGAUAGCAUAAUGAUUCCGCAUGGUUUCAUUAUUAAAGGAUUCCGGUAAAGGAUGGGGAUGCGUUCCAUUAGGUUGUUGGUGAGGUAACGGCUCACCAAGCCUUCGAUGGAUAGGGGUUCUGAGAGGAAGGUCCCCCACAUUGGAACUGAGACACGGUCCAA